rnacentral:rRNA from 1 species
GCUUACGGCCAUACCACCCUGAACACGCCCGAUCUCGUCCAUCUCGGAAGCUAAGCAGGGUCGGCCUUAGUACUUGGAUGGGAGACCGCCUGGAAUACCAGUGCUGUAAGCU